rnacentral:rRNA from 1 species
CGAACGGUAACGCGGGGCAACCUGGCGACGAGUGGCGAACGGGUGAGUAAUGUAUCGGAACGUGCCCAGUUGUGGGGGAUAACUGCUCGAAAGAGCAGCUAAUACCGCAUACGACCUGAGGGUGAAAGCGGGGGAUCGCAAGACCUCGCGCGAUUGGAGCGGCCGAUAUCAGAUUAGGUAGUUGGUGGGGUAAAGGCCUACCAAGCCGACGAUCUGUAGCUGGUCUGAGAGGACGACCAGCCACACUGGGACUGAGACACGGCCCAGACUCCUACGGGAGGCAGCAGUGGGGAAUUUUGGACAAUGGGCGCAAGCCUGAUCCAGCCAUGCCGCGUGCGGGAAGAAGGCCUUCGGGUUGUAAACCGCUUUUGUCAGGGAAGAAAAGACUCCUGCUAAUACCGGGGGUUCAUGACGGUACCUGAAGAAUAAGCACCGGCUAACUACGUGCCAGCAGCCGCGGUAAUACGUAGGGUGCAAGCGUUAAUCGGAAUUACUGGGCGUAAAGCGUGCGCAGGCGGUUAUGCAAGACAGAUGUGAAAUCCCCGGGCUCAACCUGGGAACUGCAUUUGUGACUGCAUGGCUAGAGUACGGCAUAGGGGGAUGGAAUUCCGCGUGUAGCAGUGAAAUGCGUAGAAAUGC